CACCUUUUUGUCCUGUUCCGGCUUCCACAGAUUGGACGAGGCCCACCCACCUUGGGGAGGGGCCAGCUGCUGUGUUCAGUCCGCCAUUGCAAACACGAAGCUCUUCCAGAAACGCCCUCACAGACACCCCGGAAGUCACGUACCCACUCUGUAGGUGCCCCGGGGCACAGGCAAGCGGACGAGCCAGUUAUCCCUCAGAGCUCCUGCUGCCUCGCCCGCUUUCUCUCGGAAACGUGAAGUGUGGCCUCAGCUGAAAGUGAGGUGGGCCUCAUUCAAUCAGUUGAAUUCUUCAAGAGAGAAAAACUGAAGUCCCUUAGAAGGAAAGAGUUCUGCCUUCAGACUGUCUUUGAACUUAAGACUGUAGCGUCGACUCCUGCCGGAAUUUCCAGCCUGCUGGCCAGCUCUGCAGAUUCACACUUGCCAGCCUCCACAAUCGCAGCUGAGGCGGAGGAACCCUAAGGGCUCAUUGAGAUCAUGGAUUUGCCCUUCUAUGCAUUGAUGGAGCACCUGCUGCCCACAGCGUCUGUAUUUGGUGCUGGGAUGCUGAGCCUCCUUCUUUAUGAAUUUUUAAAAGGACACUGAGAUCUUCAAACAGAGGCUGCCACUCUAAGCAAACAGAUCCCGAGCCCUGGACUCUGAAGCUUGGGCCCAGUUCUCCUUUUCUCCGGGUUUCAGAUCCCACUGUGAAGUGAGGGGGCCCUUCUGAUUCAGGACCCGGGGAAGCCAGGGGCAUGAGCAUCGGUGCCUCUUCUCUAUUUCAAGGACCCUUCUGGGUGUAAAGUUCUCUGAGAUGCCUUACAUGGAUUCCCACCACUGCAAGAUAACCAUCGUAUGUAAAGUGUUAUGACCAGCAGAGCGUAAUUGAAGUGCAUUCCAGAGGGAAAGACAGCGGCUCAGGUAGGCCUUAGAGAAUCCGCCUUGGGACGAAUCCCAUUCUCACACUCCUGUAACAUCCUUAUCAGAAGGCUGGAAGACCAAGCUGGGGCUGUGGGACUAGGAGUAAUUAAAAUACCUUUAAUUGGAAGAUUCUAUAAUGCCUUCUGCAGCAACGGAGCAUGAAUACCAUCCGUUCCUUGGCCCUCCUGUUGGGAGCCAUUGGAAAGGCAAGAAUUCUUCUCUGUUGGGAGAGUGUUCAAAAUGCAGCUUGACUGUGGCUGUGUCCACACACGUAAGGCGAUUUCCCUGAAGGUGAGGGCAGGAGAACAACCCUAGGAAUUUUUCGGGCAGGAUGAGGGAGAGAUGGAAUGAAAGAGUGGAUGGUGGGGCCAAGGCUGAGGAGCAUAGACUAAUAGUGGUGGGACCAAACAUGUUGGAAGAGUGUAGGACUUGUCUGUCUAUUGCUGCAGCAAGAAAUUUUCAGAAAAUUAGUGACUUUAAAUUAUAUAGAUUUACAUGCAAAAUGGGUGGUCAGGGCUGCAUUCCUUCUGGAGGCUCUGGAAGAGGACCCAUUUCAUUGCCUUUUCCAACUUCUAG
rnacentral:lncRNA from 10 species